rnacentral:rRNA from 1 species
AUUCCCACAUGUCUGGCUAGCCCAAACUCAACCAAUCUCUUCUAAUUUCGGAAGCUAAGUAGGAUCAGAGCUGGUUAGUAAUUGGAUGGGUGACUAUCCUGAACCCCAUCUGAGAGGGAAUA